GGCAACCAACCCAACAGAUCCGUCCUCGGAGUCACGAUAUCUUGUAUGGACCAACAGGUAUAAGAUAUAUUAGUCCUGCCGGUGAGAGUAAUUAUUUGUUGGCCAUUAAGAUGUUAAAGCCACUUCCCGAACUCCAACAACUCCAAAUCAAAACCAAUAUUCAGUAAGCUUCCACGGCAGAAGGAGACAAAUCCAAUUAUUCAAAAUUGAGGCCAAAAAGCCAAACUCCAAAAGCCUCAGAGAAGAUUCUUAAAAAUGUCUUUAUGCAGGAAACAAUCGAGCAAAAGUGACCAGCUCAACUAGCCUUGAAGAGAUAUGGACAGAUAAUCUAACAUUCCUGACCUACAGUUCACGGAAAAUACAAUUACAGGACAACUACAGGAUGGUCAUAAAUCUAUGUCAAAUAAUUUAUUAAUUAAAAAGGUAUAAGUAAUCCGCAGACCGUUACAAUCUAUGGAAACAUCAGGUUCAUAAAAGUCACCUGAACGUCAUAGGCACUUAUUAGUGACAUAAUGACAACUGGGAGCAAUUCCUAUUUCAUUGCCUGAAAUAGGUUAUAAAAUUUAAUAACAGCAUUGCUUAUUCAUUUAAAGCCGCGUGCUGACUUGAAUGUGCAUGCGCUGAGUCGAGACGAAUGCACACGCAUAUGCGUGCGGAUCAAAUUAUGCCAUUCGUUUGAAGUAAAAUCAACGAAAGUAUACUUUGUGUUUUAGUCCACUCCAGCCAUUCGUAUCGUGCUUCUCGACAAUAUGGCUGAAAUAGUUAUGGCAGGAGCAGCUUAUAUCGUUAUCCAUAACCUACUUACUAAAAAAACAAAAAAUUAAGGUAAGUGAAAUAGCUUUUAACAAUAAUUUUUAUUGGUUAACGUAGGGUUAACGUAGUUAAACAUACAUGUGAUUACAAAACUCGAAAACUAUACGCAUUUGUGCUUGAACUUGAACUUGAUCCAACAGGGCAACAUAUGUUGGCUGUUUCAGUAUAGGAGUAGAACCGGAAGAAGUAUUAUAAUUUAUUACGGGAGGGUACGUUGAUUCAACGUUCCCCAUAUCCGCCUCAAAUAAUAUGUUGUUGAUAGAAUGUUCUACAAUCGCCCGUGUUCUUUUAUUGUAGGUUCUCAAUUUAGCAGCUACAUGUUGCCCAAAUACAGUAAAUCGAUAUGUAGGUACAUUUUGAGAUGCGCUGUAUUUUGCAUGCGUAUCUUUUAAUAUCGCAUAUGCUUCCUGUAUUCAGACAUCUUCUUUUUCUUCAUUUUUUGCUUAAUUCCGUUUGCUUCCUUAUUUAAAUUCUGCGCUAUGCUAUCCCACGCAUCUAUUUUCUUAUUUUUGGAAUAAUGGAAGGGAUGUUUUGCAUCCCAUAACACCGGAUGUUGUUCGUACAAAUCGAUUAACUGUAGACAGUCAUCGUUUGACCACUCCAUUUUUAAUACUGACGUGUCGUUAAAAAAUAUUCUGGUAAGUAUACGUUCUAGCUGCAA